rnacentral:lncRNA from 1 species
GUUGACAUGAGUGAUGCUCAUGAAUGUUUAUGUAUGAUUAACAUGAGUGAUGCUUAUGAAUGUUGAUGUAUGAUGAACAUGAGUGAUGCUCAUGUAUAAUUUUGGAGUACUGGACAUACUUUUGAUCACCUGGUUGGUGAUAAUAGCAGCAGGUUGCCGAAUAAUUUUGGAGUACUGGGCGUACUUUUGAUCACCUGGUUGGUGGUAAUAGCGGCAGGCAGCCGAAUAAUUUUUUGUAGUACUGGACGUACUUUUGAUCACCUGGUUGGUGAUAAUAACGGCAGGGUGCCGAAUAAUUUUUGAGUAUUGGGCGUACUUUUAAUCACCUGGUUGAUGAUAAUAGCGGCAGGCUGCCGAAUAAUUUUUU